rnacentral:tRNA from 25 species
GGGCGGCUAGCUCAGCGGGAGAGCACUCCCUUCACACGGGAGGGGUCACAGGUUCAAUCCCUGUGCCGCCCACCA